rnacentral:rRNA from 1 species
UACGGAGGGAGCUAGCGUUGUUCGGAAUUACUGGGCGUAAAGCGCACGUAGGCGGCUUUGUAAGUUAGAGGUGAAAGCCCGGGGCUCAACCCCGGAAUUGCCUUUAAGACUGCAUCGCUUGAAUCCAGGAGAGGUGAGUGGAAUUCCGAGUGUAGAGGUGAAAUUCGUAGAUAUUCGGAAGAACACCAGUGGCGAAGGCGGCUCACUGGACUGGUAUUGACGCUGAGGUGCGAAAGCCAGGGGAGCAAACGGG